UACAGAGGCCACAAGCGUUAGGCGGAAUCACUGGGCUUAAAGCGUGUGUAGGCGGGAUGGUAAGUACCUUGUGAAAUCCCACGGCUUAACCGUGGAAUUGCUUGGUAUACUGCCGUUCUUGAGUCAUCUAGGGGCAGCCGGAACAGAUGGUGGAGCGGUGAAAUGCAUAGAUAUCAGGAGGAACACCGGUGGCGAAGGCGGGUCUCUGGGCCGUAACUGACGCUGAGGAGCGAAAGCGUGGGGAGCGAACAGG
rnacentral:rRNA from 1 species